GACGAACGCUGGCGGCAUGCCUAACACAUGCAAGUCGAACGGAACUUGUUGAAUGAAGUUUUCGGAUGGAUUUUAGCAAGUUUAGUGGCGGACGGGUGAGUAACGCGUGAGCAACCUGCCUUUCAGAGGGGGACAACAGUUGGAAACGACUGCUAAUACCGCAUGAUGUGUCGAGACCGCAUGGUCUUGACACCAAAGAUUUUUAUCGCUGAAAGAUGGGCUCGCGUACGAUUAGAUAGUUGGUGAGGUAACGGCUCACCAAGUCGACGAUCGUUAGCCGGACUGAGAGGUUGAACGGCCACAUUGGGACUGAGACACGGGACCAGACUCCUACGGGAGGCAGCAGUGA
rnacentral:rRNA from 1 species